CCUACGGGAGGCUGCAGUGAGGAAUAUUGGUCAAUGGGAGAGAUCCUGAACCAGCCAAGCCGCGUGAGGGAAGACGGCCCUAUGGGUUGUAAACCUCUUUUGUCGGAGAACAAAACCCGGGACGUGUGCCGGACUGCGUGUAUCCGACGAAAAAGCAUCGGCUAACUCCGUGCCAGCAGCCGCGGUAAUACGGGGGAUGCGAGCGUUAUCCGGAUUUAUUGGGUUUAAAGGGUGCGUAGGCGGUCCGUUAAGUCAGCGGUAAAAUUGCGGGGCUCAACCCCGUCGAGCCGUUGAAACUGGCAGACUGGAGUGGGCGAGAAGUACGCGGAAUGCGCGGUGUAGCGGUGAAAUGCAUAGAUAUCGCGCAGAACUCCGAUGGCGAAGGCAGCGUACCGGCGCCAGACUGACGCUGAGGCACGAAAGCGUGGGGAUCGAACAGGAUUAGAUACCCCUGUAGUC
rnacentral:rRNA from 1 species